rnacentral:pre_miRNA from 1 species
AGCUUUUCGAAUCCGUGUUGAGAUUUCGUAUGAUACAAACCCGUUAGGGCUGAUCAGACUUCCAAGAUAAGUAAAGUU